UGGUGCGAGGAUGCGCCCCUUACUUGUCUGCUCCACGUUUUCCAGGUACACUUUCACUCUGUCUCGGAGCCUCGGGAGCUUGGUGUUCACGAACUUCACCCGCAGCCUUCACUCCUUAAACGCCUAAGGAAAUUACGGGAACUGGGAGAAUGAUCGCGACUGCAAGCGCAGCGCACUGUGCCGUCAGGGUGUUAACAAACGAUAUAAAUGACCGUUUUGGAACUUGCUCGUUGCAGCAAGAAACAUCGCA
rnacentral:lncRNA from 1 species